GGCUCAGGAUGAACGCUAGCGGCAGGCCUAAUACAUGCAAGUCGAACGGUGUCUUCGGACAUAGUGGCGCACGGGUGCGUAACACGUAUGCAACCUACCUUACAUUGGGGGAUAGCCUUUCGAAAGGGAGAUUAAUACCGCAUAAGACAGUAGCUGGGCAUCCAGCAGCUGUUAAAGAUUUAUCGAUGUAAGAUGGGCAUGCGUCCAAUUAGUUAGUUGGCGAGGUAACGGCUCACCAAGACUUUGAUUGGUAGGGGAACUGAGAGGUCAAUCCCCCACACUGGCACUGAGAUACGGGCCAGACUCCUACGGGAGGCAGCAGUAGGGAAUAUUGGGCAAUGGACGCAAGUCUGACCCAGCCAUGCCGCGUGCAGGAUGAAGGCGUUAUGCGUUGUAAACUGCUUUAUACAGGAAGAAACGACUCUUGCGAGAGGCAUUGACGGUACUGUAUGAAUAAGCACCGGCUAACUCCGUG
rnacentral:rRNA from 1 species